rnacentral:rRNA from 1 species
CCUUACCUACCCUUGACAUGGAUGGAAUCCUGAAGAGAUUUGGGAGUGCUCGAAAGAGAACCAUCACACAGGUGCUGCAUGGCUGUCGUCAGCUCGUGUCGUGAGAUGUUGGGUUAAGUCCCGCAACGAGCGCAACCCUUGUCAUUAGUUGCUACGAAAGGGCACUCUAAUGAGACUGCCGGUGACAAACCGGAGGAAGGUGGGGAUGACGUCAAGUCCUCAUGGCCCUUAUGGGUAGGGCUUCACACGUCAUACAAUGGUACAUACAGAGGGCCGCCAACCCGCGAGGGGGAGCUAAUCCCAGAAAGUGUAUCGUAGUCCGGAUUGGAGUCUGCAACUCGACUCCAUGAAGUUGGAAUCGCUAGUAAUC